CAGCAGCCACGGUAAUACGAAGGGGGCUAGCGUUGCUCGGAAUCACUGGGCGUAAAGGGCGCGUAGGCGGCUGAUUUAGUCGAGGGUGAAAGCCCGUGGCUCAACCACGGAAUGGCCUUCGAUACUGGUUGGCUUGAGACCGGAAGAGGACAGCGGAACUGCGAGUGUAGAGGUGAAAUUCGUAGAUAUUCGCAAGAACACCAGUGGCGAAGGCGGCUGUCUGGUCCGGUUCUGACGCUGAGGCGCGAAAGCGUGGGGAGCAAACAGGAUUAGAUACCCGGGUAGUCCCUGUCUCUUAUAC
rnacentral:rRNA from 1 species